rnacentral:SRP_RNA from 1 species
GGUCGGUCCCCUCGCAACGCUGGACGAUGAACCCCGCCAGGCCCGGAAGGGAGCAACGGUAAUCGUUAAGGUGUGUGCCGGGGUGUGGCUGGCCGGG